rnacentral:rRNA from 1 species
GACAGAGGGUGCAAACGUUGUUCGGAAUUACUGGGCGUAAAGCGCGUGUAGGCGGCUCUGCAAGUCGGAUGUGAAAUCCCACGGCUCAACCAUGGAAGUGCAUUCGAAACUGUAGGGCUAGAGUCCUGGAGAGGAAGGUGGAAUGCUUGGUGUAGAGGUGAAAUUCGUAGAUAUCAAGCGGAACACCGGUGGCGAAGGCGGCCUUCUGGACAGUGACUGACGCUGAGACGCGAAAGCGUGGGGAGCAAACAGG